AGAGAGAGACAUGCGCGCAUAUCAAUAAGCGGAGGAAAAGAAACUAACAAGGAUUCCCUUAGUAACGGCGAGUGAAGCGGGAAGAGCUCAAAUUUGAAAUCUUCAAGGUUUUACCUUGACGAAUUGUAGUUUAAAGAAGUGUUUUCUGCUGAAGUUUUGGUAAAAGUUCUUUGGAAUAGGACAUCAUAGAGGGUGGGAAUCCCGUAUUUGACCAUUAUUUUCAGCUUUGUAAUACACUUUCAAAGAGUCGGAUUGUUUGGGAAUGCAGUCCAAAAUGGGUGGUAAAUUUCAUCUAAAGCUAAAUAUUGGCGAGAGACCGAUAGCGAACAAGUACCGUGAGGGAAAGAUGAAAAGAACUUUGAAAAGAGAGUUAAACAGUACGUGAAAUUGUCAAAAGGGAAGCGUUUGACACCAGUGUUGUUUUCUCGAAAAUCAAUUAAAAAUGGCUCGAUUUUGUAUUGUUGAGACCUUAAAAGCUCACUGUACAUUUUUCGUGUCUUUUUUAAUGCACUUUUCGUUUAACAAGUCAACAUCAAUUUCUUUUGUUGUAAAAGGGUCAUUGGAAGGUGGCUUUCUUUUCGGAGAAAGUGUUUAUAGCCUUUGGCCUCUGCAAUCGGAAGAGACUGAGGUCUGCAGCGUAGACUCUUCGGGGUUAGAUACAUUUGUGCUAAGUUAUAGCUUUUUAUAGACAACUUGUUGACUAUAAUUAGUCUUGUAGCUUACUCGCUUAUGCUAUUUUACCUACGCUUAGGAUGUUGAGUCGUAGAGCACGCAG
rnacentral:rRNA from 1 species